UACGGGGGGGGCAAGCGUUGUUCGGAAUUACUGGGCGUAAAGGGCGCGUAGGCGGCCUUCUAAGUCGGACGUGAAAUCCCUCGGCUUAACUGAGGAACUGCGUCCGAUACUGAAAGGCUUGAAUCCGGGAGAGGGAUGUGGAAUUCCAGGUGUAGCGGUGAAAUGCGUAGAUAUCUGGAGGAACACCGGUGGCGAAGGCGGCAUCCUGGACCAAUUCUGACGCUGAGGAGCGAAAGCCAGGGGAGCAAACGGG
rnacentral:rRNA from 1 species